UUUGUGAUUUUUUAUUUUAAAUGUCGGGAUGCCAUUUCCGAGAAGAGAGGAGUAUGUGGUGUGGUCAACACCUUGUUAUUUACUGUUCGUUGAUAAUAAUUUACUAACCGUGUAUUAUGGUAAUUUCAUGGUAGAUUACGGUAGAUGUCUGUAGUUAAAUAGUUUUGGGUAAUAGAAGUAGCGCGUGAAAUCAGUCAAGUAGAACAUCUUCAUGCGAAUCGUUCACUUUCCACGCAGAGUUGAUAGCUUGAGCAGCAGCUUAGAUUAUUUUAGUUUUUAUUCAAAUUACUAUUGAUAGAAGGCACCUUGCAGUAUGUAGUACAAGCACAGCUGCACAGUAACAGUUCAGAGGGCGAUUGUGGGUGUAAGCACAGAUGUGAGACAGAUAUAUUGUUGGAGGUCACUGAUACCAUUACAUCACUGUAUGAUGAAACGGAGAAAGAAACCUUGUGACGACCUCUUUGUCUGAAAAUGAUCCAGACUGAGUGUAAUGAAAAUCCUACUGAUUUUUAUGUAAAAAGGUGGAUGCAGCAGCAGCAGUCCAUUGAUAAAGGUCUUGCCUAGUGAACUUGGCAGAUUGAAAAACUGAGGCAUGCUAGAACUGAAGGGGGUGACUGACAAAUGUCAUCAUAUCUGGACAAAGGGAAGACAACUCUGGUGAAUAUUUUAGCUGGCAAAGAGACCAAAACUUCCAAAGAAAGGCUAUUUAAGUAUUGUCAGAGAAGAGAAGAAGUUACACAAAUCAAGAAAGGUUUUCAAUAUCUGGUUGUUGUGGCUGAAAAAGUUUCUUGGAGCAGCCCUUAUCCACCUAGUCUUCAUUUACAUUUGAACUAUAUAUACAUGUAUAUACAGGAUUGGACGCAUCCCUAAAAGGAAGAAGUACUACAUUUCUGUGCCGAAAGAUUAAAAACUACUACUGACUGGCAGCCUCGACAGAUGUGUUUUGGAAAUUUGAACAGUGACUGAAUACUUUACUUUGAUGUGUGGCAAACAAGUUCAUUGUUGGUGAUAGUAGUGGGGUUUUUUUGUUGUUUUUUUUUGGCAAGAUUGACUAGUACAGUGUUAAUCUCUAUAAUUGCAGAGCUGUCAGUGCUGUGAUUUUGUUGUUAAAUUCAAAAUCCAUGUCAAAAAGUGCUUGUUCUUCAAUUAAGGACAAAGAAGGAGAAAUUGUACUGGGCCUACACCAUAAGGAGACAGUCUUGUUUGAUUUGUUUGUCUGUGGAUGAAAAGGGACCACCUUGCAGAAGGAUGUUUCAAAUUAAUAUUCUUGUAGUGGAUUUUAAUUACACUUGAAAGAAAUAUAUAUGUUACAAGAAACAU
rnacentral:lncRNA from 1 species